CCAUUUCCAGAUCUUGAUCCUCAAAUCAACCUUGCAUUUAGCUUUAGAUACUGAAGCUGUAGUUGCCGUUUUCCCACUAGGAACCGUAGCUUUAAUCCCUUCACAGGAAACUCUAAUCCCAACCUUCGGUGUUUUUAAGCCUCCCAUCUUCACUUUCACCUUAGUUUCCAACUCUAUCUUCAAGCCCAAACCAUUAUUGCUCUUUAAAUCUGUCUUUAAUUCGCUAGAAGAGGUAUCGUCUAGCUGUUGACCACUGCUCGUGAUGGAAGCUUUCAGAAACGUCGUGUUCUUGGUGCCAUGGACAAAAGAGGGUAACAAUCCAUUGCCUAUAAGGAUCCCAUCUUUAUCUGUAGUUACAGAGAUUGUGACAGGGUUAUAGAUGUAGACGAGCUUCUUGUUGGGGUUUCUUGUGGUGAUGUUCAAGUUGAUAUUGGUGGUGAGAUGGGAAGAUGAAGUGAGGUUGAGAGAGGAUACUUUGAGGCCAGAGACGGCGAAGGUGGGCCGGUGGGGACGGUAGAUAACGUAGAUGAUGGCACCAGCAAUGGCAGCGAGGAGGAGGAGAGUGAAUAUGAUUACGGUUAGCCAGAGACAACAGGCACACCAGCAGCUGCGUCGGCUGCGUUGGCGUUGGGGUUGUGGACGGUAGGCAGGGCGGUUGGCACCGUAGAGUUGGGCUUUGGUGGCUGGAAAAGAGGGACUGGUGGUAGUAGUGGUGCCUCCAUUCGUGGCAGGUUUAGCAGAAGGGUAAACCCUGUCUGUCAUGGUGAGAGAGGAGAAUAGAAGAAAAGAUAAAAGAAGAGCAAACUGUUUUCUUGAGGUGUUUGAUGAGUGUCUAAGAGAGGAGAAAAGGCCAAAGGGCUUUGGCCUUUUUCUUUGAGAGAGGGGGAGAAAGAAAAGGACUAUUUUGCUGAGGUCCUAAGAAAGAAAGAUAUAUAAAUAGUCAAUUUUGGGAUAUAUAUAUGAACUAAAAAUAAAGGGAAGAUUAAUAAUUAUGAGGGAAAUGUUUUUC
rnacentral:misc_RNA from 1 species